UGAAUUAAGGACUUCAAACAGUCCGCAAAUUAGAUCUUUAAUACGUUUUUAAUCACCCACUAAACCAAAAACUUUUAUGCUUUUAAUUCCUUUAUAUAUAUAUUAUCUCUUUCUUUAUUACUAUUAAUUUUCUGUUGGCUCCCUUCUUAGAAUCACCUCCCAAAAUGGCAGAAAAUUCGAUUCUUUGCUCGGUUUCCAGUUUGAUUCUCAGCAUUUUCAUUCUCUUUUGUUGUU
rnacentral:lncRNA from 1 species